rnacentral:lncRNA from 1 species
AGAGAAGCAACAUCUUUAAGGUACUGAGGGCAGGAGAAGUUAAUGUAGAAUACUAUGCCAGAAAAAAUAAAUUCCCAAAAGUGGAAGUGAAAUAAGGACAUUUAGAGAUGUACAAAAGCUGACCGAAUUCACUACCAGUCAACCCACACUACAAGAAACAUCAAAUGAGUCCUCCAAGCAGAAGGAAUCCAAUACCAGAUGAAAAUCCAGAUCUCCACGAGGAAAUGAAGAACACCAGAAAUGGAUCGGCCCUUUCUUCAAAUAAGAGCAGUUGGAAUAACAAAGCUGUUCAGUUGUACCCUUGGAAUCCACUGAAAUCCUGGGUAGGGAAGCUCCAGUACCACCAACUGGAAAGACUGGGAAUGCCUAAUAGCUGGUACUGGCCAUUGUCGUAGGCUUUGUCCACUCUGACAAACUGAAGAUGGGGACUCGACUCACCUUCGCCAGCCACAGGAGGACCUCCAGACGAGGUUAGGUCGACUUCCCGAUAACUUUAGAUCCUGAAACCUCACGGGAUUUUUCUUCUCUUCCCUUUGAUCUCUCUUCCGCUUGCUCAACAGGACAGGACUCGCUGCCUUUCUUUCCCGUCAGAAAGGGAUCCCUUGCGGACAGGACCUAAGUGAGUAGCUGGUUUCCCCUACUUGUCCUUCCGGGCCUGGGUGUCUCGGGGGCUCAGGCUGACGGGAGACCUAACUACCGGCGAGUGAGACCAGCAGGAGCCUGGAGGGGCGCGCACCAGGGUGGAGGUUUGGUGCCGGGGGUUGAGAACAACAGUCAAACCCUCUUCUUCCCCUGGCACCACGCACCUGCCCCCCGGGAUGCCGAACGAAGUGGUCCCUAAAGCUCCUCUGCAGGCCCAACCGAAACAGGCCUGAAGCUCCAGGAUGGGCGAGAGGAUCCUCUUUGAGCGAAACCAGCCUUCUGCCUGGCUGGCCCUGGUCAACACCCUGGGAAGAGGCCGAUUUGGCGGACAGAACGGAAGAAAAGACCUAAAGGUAGAAUCUCAUGAUGUCGAGAUGUUAAAACACUCAAAUUUUAAGGUUCGACUGUGAGGGGGAGAUAGGGGGUCUCGAGCUGGAUCGACCCCUGAGCCUUCAUCUGCAGAGUCCUGUGCACCAGCUCAGAGGACAGGACUAUGUGCACCAAUGGUUCUCAUCAGGCGGCAACUUCACCCUCACAUGCCUCCCCCAUCCCUGCUGGUACACAAGACCACGACUAGGGGAAGCCCGGAGGGAGAAUGUUAACCCCUGGCAUCUAUCUAGUCAGCAGAGGUGAGGGAUGCUGCUAAACACCUUACAAUCCACCGGAGGACACCCGCCCCCACCGACCCCGAAGUAGCCAUUCCCUGGAGGUGGGGAAACUCGCCUGUAGAUCAAUGCCCACGCACUUGGCGGACAGGAAAUCACGAAUUGGCCACUAACUGGAUCUUGGAUCUGAGGAAAAAAUUCCAGCGUCAGAGGGAACUCUCGGAGAUUUGCCCAGAGCAUAAGGAACGUACUCCUUCCCUCAGUGAUGGAUCCUCACAUCUGGGGGAAAUCAUAGACAAUUUCUUUUGUAGGGCGAACUCUGCUAUACAGUUUAUGAUGUCAGAGUGAAUACUUUCUUUGAGUUGCAGUCAGAAACUGUAGAUUUUUAAAAAUUUAAAAUUCAUUAUUCUCUGUCAGUAUUCCAAAGUGUAUACAGAAAGCUAUUGCACUGUUCAGGAGAUGGCGCUUAACAUUUUGGAAAUUCAAGGUGAUGAAUGUCCAGAUAAGACUAUCUCUCCUGGUACAAAGUUUGACAAUGCUGAACACUUUUAAAGGUUCUUUUUGAUAUACAAAGUGCACCAAUGAGUGCUUUUUAAUUCUUACAAUAAUUCUGGGUGAGGUAGGUAUUUUUCCAAUUCCCAUUUUAUGCUUCGGUAGCCCUUUGUAUUUAUACUUCAAAACACUUGGCUCUCUUGUAAUUAUUUAAGAAAUUAGUUGUGAUUAUUUGUUUAAUGUGCAGGAGUUACAAAAGGCAAGCUUUAGAACAAGACAGACCUGGUUAUGAUUCCUGGCUCUGAAAGCUGUACACCCUGUGACCCUAGACAGGUGUUUUAAUGCCUCGCUGCCUCUGUUUCUUGCUCUGUAAAAUGUGAACAAUAACAGUAUUGGCCUCAUGCUUUUUUUGGGUUUUAAAAGUAAUAAUGUGGACAAAGAUCAGUGGAGUGCCUGGCAUGCUGAACCCAUUCCAUGACUGUUAGAUAUAGUUGUUAUGAUUUGUAUCAAUCCAUUUUCACACUGCUAUAAGGAACUACCUGAGACUGGGUAAUCUAUGAAGAAAAGAGGUUUAAUUGACUCACAGUUCUGCAUGGCUGGGAGUCCUCAGGAACUUACAAUCAUGGCAGAAGGGGAAGCAAGACAUUUCUUAUAUGGCAGCAGGACAGAAAGAGAGAGAGUGAAGGGGGAAGUGCCACACACUUCCAAACAACCAUAUCUUGUGGUUAAUUAAAAAGUACUCAUUGGUGUGCCUUGUAUAGAAAAAAAUAUACACUCACUAUCAUGAGAACAGCAAGGAGGGAGUCUGCCCCCAAGAUUCAAUCACCUCCCAGUAGACCCCUCCCCUGACAUGUGGGGAUUACAAUUCAAGAUGAGAUUUGGGUGGGGAAACAGAGUCAAACCAUAUCGUGAUUGUUCUAUAAUAAAGAGAUGCCCACAUGUGUUUCAUCAGGGACAGUGCUCAUUAACCAGUUGUCCUGCCGUAAUUAUUAAUAGUAUCCCCUUUGCUUUCAAAAGUGUCCUAGUUUACAAAAAGUAUAGAAAUGGAGGACAGAAUAGUGGUUGCCCAAGAUUGGAAAAGGGUAAGGGUAAAGGGUGCAGAGGUGGAUGUGGUUAUAAAAGGCAACAUGGGAGAUCCUCGUAGUGAAGGAACUGUUUAGUAUCUCCACUGUGGUGGUAGAUACCCGAACCUAAACAUGUGAAAAAUUGCAUGAAACUAAACACACACACAAACAAGUACAAGUUAAGUUAGGAAAAUCCAAAUAAGAUUUCUACAUUGUAUCAAUAGGUAUAUCUUGAUUAUGAUAUUGCAAGAUGGUACUAUUCAAGGAAACUGGGUAGAGGCUACAUGAGACUCCCCUGUAUUAUUUCCUAUAACUCCAUGUGAAUCUACAAGGAUCUCAGGAUUAAGGAAGAUAUCCUAGUUUGGAAGAUAAAAAAUAUAUCCCAGUAGUAAUAUCCACUGUCCCACCAGGGCCUGACUACCUUCUAUAAAAAGAAGUGCCUUUGUUCCCCUCAAGUUCCUUUAUUUGGUUUUAUUCUUCUUCACAGUACCUACCUCCACUUGGCAGAUUACAUUUAUUUUUUCAUCUUUCAACAGCUAUUUACUGAAUGCCUACUAGAUGCCAGGCUUGAGAUCUAGCAAUGAACAAGAUCUCUGUGAAACUUACAUUCCAGGAGGAGAAAUAAAUAAUAAACCAAAAAUAUAAUCAGUAAAUUAUUUAAUAUGCUGGGAAACAAUAUGUGUAAUGGAAGAAAUAUGUAAAGUGAUGGAUUAGGGUUCUCCAGAGAAACAGAACCAACAAUUGACUCAUGUGAUUAUGGAGGCUGAGAAGUCUCAAGAUCACAGUUGGCAAGCUUGAGACACAGGAGAGCCCAUGGUGUGUUUCUGAUUUGAGUCCAAAGGCCUGAGAACCAGGAGAGAUGAUGGUGUGAUUACAGUUCAAAAGCUGGCAGGCUUGAGGCCCAGGAAGAGCCAGUGUUGCAGUUCAAUUCCAAAGGCAGGAAAAGGCUGAUAUCUCAGCUGAAGCAAUCAGGCAGAAGGAGCUCUCUCUUACUCAUGGGCAGGUCAGACUUUUGGUUCUAUUCAGGCCUUUAAGUGAUUGGAUGAGGAUCAUCUACUGGGGAAAGAAAUAAGCUUUAUUCAGUGUACUGAUUCAAAUGUUAAUCUCAUCCAAAACCAUGCUCACAGACACACCCAGCAUAAUGUUUGACCAAGUAUCUGGGCACCUUGUGGUUCAGUCAAAUUAACACAUAUUAACUACCUUAGCAAGAUGAAAAGCAGUGAAUGCAGGAUGGUGGUUGAAAUUUUAAAUACGUUGGUUAUAUAGUCUCAUUGAAAAAGGAACAUUUGAGUGAAGACUUGAAGGGGUGGUGGAAUAAACCAUUUAUUUGCUUAUUGCCUGUCUCCCUCUAUCAGAAUGAAAGCUUCAUGAAGCGAGAGACUUAAUUUUUAUCUGUUAUAUCCCUAGUGCCUGGUGCAGGGUAAGUACUCAAAAAUAUUUGUUGAGUGAAUAAGUAAUGAUUGAGGAUGGGGACUGGUUUGUAUCUGGUUAUAUCUCUUGUCCUUAGCACAGUACCUGGCACAUCCUAAGCCAUCCAAAAGAGUUGGUUAUAUGAUUGUCUUUGAAUUCUAUGACUGUUUAUAAUAUACAGUAAACUUCACUGAAGACACUGACUCACUUGUUUUGUUUGAUAUUGUGGCCCCAGCACUGCAGCACUUAG